rnacentral:lncRNA from 1 species
UAGAAUUAGGGUUUUGAAGGAGAGUGCGAUUGGGUGUGCAAAUGAGGCUGAUAAUCAUUUUAUACAUAGGUAAGAUGUUAACCAGCCACGUCAGUCCACACAUGUUUAGCCACAUCAGCAAUAUUUUAACCUAUUCGGAUUAUUAUUGGUGAUUAAAUGAGUUAGGAUUAUGAUUGGCCAAUAACAGUGAGUUGAGAUUAUUUAUUUCCAAUUUGCCAAAUAAAUUUACGCUUUUGCUCUCAGCUAAAAAUUUCAAUUUCGCCCUUGAUUUAAAAUUACGAUUUUGCCCCGUUUAAAUUUAUUGUUUAGCCUGAAGUUUUUUUUCCUCCCAGCCAAGUUACGAUUUUGCCCUCAACUUAAAUUUACAUUUUUUCCAUCGUUUUUGUUUGUUUUUCUAGUUAAAGUACAAUAGUAUUAAAUUACAGUUAUGCCAUGUCAUUGUUUUAGUUUUUUUUAACUACUGCAGUGUUUUGUUUAAAUUGGCUGACUCGAUGUAAUUUUUAUUCGUGACAUGUAGCUGCCAGACACACACUCAUUUGUCCUGAAAAAUUAUAAGUUUCCCCCCUGUUUAAAAUUUUAGUUUUUCUAUCUUUUUUUAGCAAUAAUAUGAUAAUGGUUGAUUCGAUGUAAUUUUUUUGAGAUCGUGUUGUGAAUAGUAUGUGUAAGUAAAAAAAACACACACGUACAUAUUAUGAGAGAGAAAAAAUCGCCUUAGUGCCCCGCAAUGCGGGCGGAGCAAACACUAGUUCAUUACAAAAUAGAAAAAUAAAUGUUUAAAAAUUAAAACUUUUUAUUAUUAAAUAUUAUAAUCCGUAGCAAACACGAUAGCAAUAUCAGAGAAUCUAUACUUAAAAAAAACUGAAUUAAUAAAACAUGUAGAAAAAAGUCCAGAUAUAGAUAUAAAAUAUCGGAUAUAUUUUUUUUUAAAUUGAUAGCAAAAUCCAGAAUUAACUAGGCAAUAAAUUAUAAUAACUAAAUUAGAGGUAUAACUCAUUAACACCAACACCAAGUAAAAAUUAAAACUUCCACGCCUGAUUUCCGCCCCCUAAUGCGACCACACCCCUACAUUUCCCCCAAUAUAUCUAUAAAAAAAUAUAUCUAAACAUUAAUGAAAAUAACUUUAUGAACUACUUAAUGUUUCCCUCACAAGUCACAACCACCACAAAUUUUUCCCACCGUACCAAAAUUUUGAUUUCACCAAAAGUUCCCUCUCAUUUUAAUUACCGCUAAAAGUUUUCCUUAAUUUACGGAAGUAACUGAAUUCAAACCCUUAUAUUUUAAUACUCCCCCCAAUUCCUUCAGUUACUUAUUUCUUCCACCUUGUAAAGAACGCCCCUUUACUCUUAUAGCCCCAUCGUCUCUUGCUUAUGGCCAUCUUCAAAAUUUUAAUGCUUGAUUCGAUGUCAUGUCCUCCUUGUUUGGAAUGUACAUCCCGGUUUGCCAUCAUUUGUUGACUUUUGAAAGGGGAUUUCUCAUUUUGAAUUUAUAAGAGAGUGGUAAAGCCAUAUGAUAAGGCUGCUAAAUGUACCAAGUAUGAUACUGAUAUUUGAAGAAACAAGCAAAAGCAUUGAAGAUUACUGUCUGCCAGUUAUAAUUGAAGGAGUGCAAAGGGGAGGGAAAACUAGAUAGUCAAACAUUCUAAAGUUAUACUUGAAGGAUGUGGGGAUUACCUUAUUUACCAUUAAUUUUCAAACAUUCUAAAGUUAUACUUGAAGGAUGUGCAAUCAACACAAGAUAGAUUUGAUGAAAUCCACGUUCCUUCUAUAUUUUUUUAAGUCACUUUAUUUGUUUUUUAGUUAAAUAAUUUAUUUUACUAGU